GACGAACGCUGGCGGCGUGCUUAACACAUGCAAGUCGAACGGAAAGGCCCUGCUUUUGUGGGGUGCUCGAGUGGCGAACGGGUGAGUAACACGUGAGUAACCUGCCCUAGACUUUGGGAUAACUUCAGGAAACUGGGGCUAAUACCGGAUAGGAGCUCCUGCUGCAUGGUGGGGGUUGGAACGUUUCGGCGGUUGGGGAUGGACUCGCGGCUUAUCAGCUUGUUGGUGGGGUAGUGGCUUACCAAGGCUUUGACGGGUAGCCGGCCUGAGAGGGUGAACGGCCACAUUGGGACUGAGAUACGGCCCAGACUCCUACGGGAGGCAGCAGGGGGGAAUAUUGCACAGUGGGCGGAAGCCUGAUGCAGCAACGCCGCGUGCGGGAUGACGGCCUUCGGGUUGUAAACCGCUUUCGCCUGUGACGAAGCGUGAGUGACGGUAAUGGGUAAAGAAGCACCGGCUAACUACGUG
rnacentral:rRNA from 1 species